UCUUAGAGUUUUGGGGCUCCCUGUGGAAACUCUUCUCUUGGAAUCCUGGCUGGAUGGCUUUGCUUCAGACACUAGCGAGGGGGAGAGUUUAUUAGGGGAGGCAGAGUCCUUCUGGAGUUUGACCCUUGGAUUCCAUCCAGAGCAGCCUCCAAAAUGACACCUUUGAAGUUGUGUAUCGAGCUGGGGGAUGUAAAGGGAGGAGAAGAAAGAAGAUGAAGAGAUACCAGCCAGCCUUAAGGAGUGGACAUCCUGCCUGGUGAAACUGAACAAGACACCUACCGCAUAUGGAGUUUCGCUCUGUCGCCCAGGCUGGAGUGCAGUGGUGCCAUCUCGGCUCACCGCAACCUCCACCUCCAGGUUCAAGUGAUUCUCCUGCCUCAGCCUCUCAAGUAGCUGGGAUUACAGGAGCCCUCUCCCACCGCUCCUACACUGCUGGUAAAAGGCAGCCGCACUGCCUGCUGGAAGACCUGCCAGCUUGGGCUUCAGAGCACUUCUGCCUCAGAUCCACGACGAUCCCUUCUGUCAUCGUGGGACCUUUCCUGGGAUUUGAUUUAGGGCGACGCUUCCUCCUGUCUGUGUCCUGAGUCCUGCCUUCCCUGGCUGGUCCUCUUUGCUUAGUCACCCAGAUCAUUCCCAGACAGCUGCGCCCUGGAUAUGGCUCCUCUCAUGUGCUGCCUGGAAAUGUCUCCUCUCUUCUCACCUGCUGAGAGGUCCUUCUGGGCAGGGACUCGGGCAGAUUCAUUCCUGCCUGCCCCACAUUUCCCUAGCCCAGGGCCUGGCCCGUUGCAGUGCUGAAGGAUGAUUCUGGUAAGAAACAAGGUACUCCAGCUCACAUCUUGCAAUGAUUAUGCCUCCCCCACUCUCCCUUCUCCUUGCAGUUCUCUCUCUUCACUGAUGAUUUUGGAUGCAAUUUAAAAUAAAAAUAUUGAUUAAAAAUGGAAACUAUAUAAAUAAAAAUAAAAACACUUAACAUCAA
rnacentral:lncRNA from 1 species